GCUAUCAGUGGGGAGGAGAACAGAGUGAUGAAGCCAGUUCAAGAACAAAACCCAAGGGGCAAGGGAGCAGAUGCCAAAACAGCAGCACUCUGUGCAGUAGCAGGGCCUGAUGCAGACGGUCGCGGGCAGAGAAAUCCAGUGGGAAAAUUACAAUUCAACCACUGGGUAGUCGAGGAGGGACUGGUCAUUUCGUUUAAAAUAUUAACAAAGCUGUUCUUACCAGGUCCAGCAGAAAAUAAAUGCCUUUCAGAUCACCCACACUCGUGAUUGUGAAGGUUCCUAUUUUGAGGACUGCAUUACGACCAGCACUGGUCUUGGACCCCUUAUGUAGAGCUUGAUAUCCUAAUAAUCUUUUCACUUCUUGCGGGUACCCUGGAGACAAAGUACAGAGAGGAAUAGCCCACAGACAACUCUCGAGAGCAGAGGGGAACUUCUUAGGUAACAACCUAAGGCAUAACAGAAGAAAUGCUGGUCAGAACAAGACAGAACUUCAGAGCCAAGGGAAAAAACCCUCCCCAAUCAUUAAAGAAGAUCAUUCUGAAGACUAAAUUAUUUUAUUUCAAAGUUAUGGCUAAUACAUUUUGCAUGCAAAAUAAAACGAGCCUUUUACUGCAGAUUGGGAUUUGGGGGGAGGGUGUUGGAGGUGGUCAGCUCGUGAUGUUACGGGCCUUUGGACAAGAAAAGGGUCCUGACUGCAGGGCUGAGCGUGGCUGGGCUGCUGCAGAAUGAGAUCAUCUCGGCGAAGUGGAGGCUGGUCAGUGCUGGCCUGGCACGCAGAGAGAGAGCUGCCGCAUCCCACAGCCAGGCCCAGGUCUCCUCAGGGCUGAAGAGAUAAGCAUGGCUGAGCCCUGGGCCCAGGCAAUCUGCUGUGCGAGGGGGCUCUUUUUUCCCCCUGUUGUUUUGUUUGACAACAAGCAUUACUAAUUUGUUGCUGUGGUGCUUUUAACCCUCUCUCUUUCUGCCUCCUACAUUUCUGAUGCUUAGGUUCGUUUUGCUUGCUUAAACAGUAGCUUGCCUCCUCCAUUUACAAGGAGAAGAAAUUCAAAUUCAGAAUUAACACUCUCUGCAGCAGCUCACACUUUGCACAAAUGACAGAAGAUCAAUAGGUGUUCCCCCGAGUUUUAGGACUAUGGACACGUACAGUCCUGCCCUGAGCAUUUCUGGACCAGGAUGGGUGAAUAGGAGAAGCACACCCACCCCACCUCAUUCUUCCUACGUGGGUAAAGGAGUCAUGGGCAUGAGAAAAGAAACCACUGGUGAACACAAACUGAGAGGAUGCAAUGAAAGAUGAAUUCUAAAUACCAAGAUUUCCCCCAUACAUGAGCAAAAAUGCUCCAUUUAUUCACUGAUCUGGUGCACAGAAUAGAUAUUAUCCAUCUGAACUUGGAACAGUAUGUAGGACCAGGGUUGCCGGUGAUGCUGCUGUGUUGCACUCAGCUCUGUUUUAGGCUUAGCGUUGCUUUACAACAGACAACACCUCUCUGUCGAGGCUGGUCUGGUUCAUACAGCAGAGAGAUAUGCCCCUGCCACCACAACCCAUCCUGUUUUCAUCUAGAGAGAUAAAAGGGCUCAGAAAAGGCUUCCCCAUUUCUGUUAACAACCUGCGUUCAGUCUCUUCUCCCGCAGGUCGAUGGCCAAGAGUUCUCCUCUAACCGAGGAAGAGCAUGGAGCACAAGAAGGCCAUGUCGUCUAUAGGGGCUGGGGACAUGCCUAGAGUAUUCUCUGCCAACUGCUCCCUCUUCUCUGUUCUUUCAGUAAAAGGCCAGGUCCCAUGUGUCCCAGGUGUUGCUUACAGCUCACCUGUGUUGUUAGCAUCUCCCGCCAUCACUGACCUCUCAACUGAAACCACAGGGGUGAGAGACUCCACAUAACUCACAGGAGCGAAAGACAAAUACGCCUGAAGUGGCAAUCAACAAAUUAACCUUCCGUCUCCCAAAACACGGCUUACUAAUCACUGGUAACACAUGGGCACCACUGUGUAACGGCACACCAGGUAAUUAAUUAGGUUCCCUUGCUGAGAGGUCUCAAACCUCAACCAAAUAAAGGAUUACACUUCAUCUUGGAAAACUAAAGAGCACGAACCUGAAAUCCAUCCAACACCAUCACCAAUGUGGUUUUAAGUUGUUGUAAGGUUACCAUAAUGAAUAAAGCAAAACCAUGUGUA